AGGGGAAUUUUGGACAAUGGGCGCAAGCCUGAUCCAGUCAUGCCGCGUGCAGGAUGAAGGCCUUCGGGUUGUAAACUGCUUUUGUACGGAACGAAAAGACUCCUUCUAAUAAAGGGGGUCCAUGACGGUACCGUAAGAAUAAGCACCGGCUAACUACGUGCCAGCAGCCGCGGUAAUACGUAGGGUGCGAGCGUUAAUCGGAAUUACUGGGCGUAAAGCGUGCGCAGGCGGUUAUAUAAGACAGAUGUGAAAUCCCCGGGCUCAACCUGGGAACUGCAUUUGUGACUGUAUAGCUAGAGUACGGCAGAGGGGGAUGGAAUUCCGCGUGUAGCAGUGAAAUGCGUAGAUAUGCGGAGGAACACCGAUGGCGAAGGCAAUCCCCUGGGCCUGUACUGACGCUCAUGCACGAAAGCGUGGGGAGCAAACA
rnacentral:rRNA from 1 species